rnacentral:lncRNA from 1 species
GGAAUUCCAAAACUGUUAAAAACAGAUAAUGGCCCUGGCUAUAUCUCUACUUCUUUUAAGCAAUUUUGCUUAUCAUUUGGCAUUACUCAUAUACCAGGAAUCCCGUAUAAUCCACAGGGCCAAGGCAUAGUUGAAAGAGCUCACCAAACUAUUGAAAGGUAUUUAUUAAAACAAAAAGAUGGAAUUGGGAAGGGGUAUACAUCCCCCAUAGAUAAACUUAAAUCAACCCUUUUUACAUUAAACUUUUUAAGUUUGGAUUCAUUAGGGCUUAGUGCUGCAGAAAGGCACAUGUGUCCAAAAAAUAUACAUAAGCCUAAGGUACUUUGGAAGGAUAUUCUAACAGGACAAUGGAAAGGUCCUUACCCAGUGAUCGUCUGGAGUCGGAGAUCUGUUUGUGUGUUUCCACAGGGAGAACAGCAGCCGAUUUGNAGGGGUAUACAUCUCCCAUAGAUAAACUUAAAUCAACCCUUUUUACAUUAAACUUUUUAAGUUUGGAUUCAUUAGGGCUUAGUGCUGUGGAAAGGCACAUGUGUCCAAAAAAUAUACAUAAGCCUAAGGUACUUUGGAAGGAUAUUCUAACAGGACAAUGGAAAGGUCCUUACCCAGUGAUCGUCUGGAGUCGGAGAUCUGUUUGUGUGUUUCCACAGGGAGAACAGCAGCUGAUUUGGAUUCCAAGAGAAUAACUAAAGUGAUUUUUACAAACCAAAAAGGAGAUGAUUUGGCUCAAAGUCCAUAACAGCUGAUAUCCAGAACUCCAGUUUAGCUAUCCUUACAUCUGCAACAAUGGUUCUCUCACACCUGGAGGCUAAUGAGUAAUGAGCAUCAUAAGGGCCUAUUUCAAAUGUAAAAAACCUUAAGACUUACAUUUGGAAAUACCAUCAAACCCAUAUGCAAAUUACAAGAAGAAGGAUGAGAUAUCAAAAGAAGAGUCAAACCAAAGUUGUAACUAGGAUGCUUUUCUCAAUAUCUAUUUUAUUAUGUCCUAUUUUAUUUUUUGAGCUCAUACNGUGUUUCCACAGGGAGAACAGCAGCCGAUUUGGAUUCCAGAGAGACUAACUAAAGUGAUUUCUACAAACCAAAAAGGAGAUUAUUUGGCUCAAAGUCCAUAACAGCUGAUAUCCAGAACUCCAGUUUAGCUAUCCUUACAUCUGCGACAGUGGUUCUCCCACACCUGGAGGCUAAUGAGUAAUGAGCACCAUAAGGGCCUAUUUCAAAUGUAAAAAUCCUUGAGAUUUACUUGUGGAAAUAUCAUCAAACCCAUAUGCAAAUUACAAGAAGAAGGAUGAGAUAUCAAAAGAAGAGUCAAACCAAAGUUGUAACUAGGAUGCUUUUCUCAAUAUCUAUUUUAUUAUGUCCUAUUUUAUUUUUUGAGCUCAUACAGAGCUAGGUAAAUGUUUUUGCGAUCAGUUCUAUUUUUUUUUAUUAACUGUGGAGCUUUUAAACAUUGCAAUAGAAAUUUUACCUGUGAAAAACUAUAAGGCCUUUACUGUUGUGUUGUGUGUACACACUUGUGUUAUGUGUUGUCUGUAUGUGUGUAUGUCCAUAUAUAUUAUAUGAGGAGCGCUCAUGAAAAAAAUGGAUCCAAAUAUAUUUUUCUUAUUCACAUGAUUGAAACAGUUUAAUUUAAAUUAGGUAACAAAAAUAGGAGAUUAACAGAUCUGUUUUUUUUUUUACUUUCAACUUUCUUUUUCAUUUUAUCUAAUUCUGUUCAGAAUAAUUCUUAGUGCCUGCUGGAAAGUUAUACAAUUUUUUGGUCAAUAUUGCCAGAAUUCCUAUCUUCAUCCCAGUGCCAGUGAAGACAAAGGUACAAGAAUUUCCAGUAUUACUGAAAAAACAAAUGCAACUUCAGAAUUACAGCCACCAUCAUCACAACUGUUGCUGUUUCUGCUGCCGCUACUACAGCUUCUGCGAUGGCUGUCACACAAACUGUACAAACUGAUGCAUUAGUAUUUACUUCAAGAAGAAAAAGACAUAUUAAUGGAUUCCUCUGCUUUAAGCUGCUUCCAGAACUUACCUGGAAAAUGUAUCAUUUAUAUGCAUUAUGAACUGAUACAACAAACUGUAAUUAGUACCAGAGUAUCUUUGCUGAUGGUGUCAUUGGUUGUACAAUUUUUCCAAAAGGAGCCAUCAAUUGGCUUGGUAUCAUUGUGUUUUGUAUCUUCCCCCUUCUGCUUGUAGCAGGUUAUCCACAAGUAUGGCUAAUAAUGCUGGGCCGGUAGUCAAUGACAGGUAAGAUCCAAUUGCAAUGGUACCAACCUAAGACGGGAGGCUGACGCCUUGAGGACAGAUCAUCCGAUGAUGGGUAAGGAUCAUAUGAAGUAUUGGAAAACCUAAGACAGGCACAGUCCCUAAGCCACAUACUUGUUGUUUAUAUUAAACAAAAGGGGGAGAUGAAGAGGCCUCAAUGAAGUUAAGAUGGUGCCUGGCAGUAUGCUAGGAGGAGUGGUUUCUGAGCCAAUGACAGCGAGCCAUUAAGAUGAUAAGGAUUCCUUAAUGACUGACUGCUGUAUCUAAUGAUGUUAAUUAAGUUAAGCUGUGUAUAAUUAUUAAGAUGAUGAGGAUUCCUUAAUGACUGAUUGCUGUAACUGGAUGAUGCUAAAUUGAAACAAGCUG